UAACCCAGGUUCCUCUUUUUGAGGAGCAGGUCCAGGUGGGGACUUCCAUCCUUUUCAUGCACAGAAAGGGGGCCCCGUGGGCCAUUCUCAGGGACCAGCUCCAGCCUCUGUGGCUGAGCAGAACUAACAGAAACCCAGCAGGCUUGGCCUUGGCAAUCACUAGUUAAUGCAAAUAUCAAUUCCAGGUGCUCUGAGGAACAUUUCGGGAGCCUCCAGAACUGAAGAGGGGGCCAACUCUCUGGAGAAAAAUGAAUGGAUGUAGGCCCAAAGGAGCCGAAUGUUUUCCUUGGCUGAAUGGCAAGCAAGCACCAAGUGUCCACAGGUCAGGGUGAGGGGCCCCAAGGGUGUGUAUUCUGCAACCCAGUCCCUCAAUGUGUCUUUCCGGAGUGUGGAUAUGAACAGCCGUCUUGGGUCCUGAGGUGGAAGCCAUGUGUGGAAGAUGGAGGGCAUCGGUUAGAAGGAGUCUAGUCCCUGAUGGUCACUGAGCUGCAGAACCAGCCUGGGCUGCUUCCUGCUGGAUGUCACUUACUAGAGAGCGAAAUUAAAUGUGCUUCAGCUACUGUUACUUUGGGUUUUCUGUCAUUUGUAGCUGAAAUAAUCCUAAUCAAUAUGAGAUAUAUUAAGUAAACAAAAA
rnacentral:lncRNA from 1 species